rnacentral:lncRNA from 1 species
AACCUGAACCAACUUCUAUUCUUUUUCUAAUGAAUGCUCAAGAUCUAUCUAAAAGGAGACAAUAGAGGAAAAAACAACACUACAAAAUGUCAGACAUGAAGACAGUUAAGCAACAACCCCUCAUCCCAAUGACUACGAACCUGGCAAUCACGCCCUCGUGAAUUCGUCAAAGAAUAGCAGCAACAUAUCUCGAGGCCCCUGUGUGAACCCGCCUACACCUCGCCCUCCAUAUACGACUCAUGAAAAAGUACCAGAUGAGCCUCUUAACUUUGUAAAUGACCGGCAACCCUCUCCAACGAGAACACACAAAAUUAAUAUUGUC